rnacentral:rRNA from 1 species
AUUGAACGCUGGCGGCAUGCCUUACACAUGCAAGUCGAACGGCAGCACGGGGGCAACCCUGGUGGCGAGUGGCGAACGGGCGAGUAAUGCAUCGGAACGUGCCCAGUAGUGGGGGAUAACCAGUCGAAAGACUGGCUAAUACCGCAUACGACCUAUGGGUGAAAGCGGGGGACCGUAAGGCCUCGCGCUAUUGGAGCGGCCGAUGUCUGAUUAGCUAGUUGGCGGGGUAAGAGCCCACCAAGGCGACGAUCAGUAGCUGGUCUGAGAGGACGACCAGCCACACUGGGACUGAGACACGGCCCAGACUCCUACGGGAGGCAGCAGUGGGGAAUUUUGGACAAUGGGCGCAAGCCUGAUCCAGCCAUGCCGCGUGCGGGAAGAAGGCCUUCGGGUUGUAAACCGCUUUUGGCAGGAACGAAACGGCGCAAGCGAAUACCUUGCGCUAAUGACGGUACCUGCAGAAUAAGCACCGGCUAACUACGUGCCAGCCGCCGCAGUAAUAC